rnacentral:tRNA from 1 species
GAGGGUGUAGCCCAAAUGGUAGAGCGUAUGCUUAACAUGCAUGAGGUCCUGGGUUCAAUGCCCAGUACCUCCU